rnacentral:rRNA from 1 species
UACGGGGGGGGCAAGCGUUGUCCGGAAUCACUGGGCGUAAAGGGCGCGUAGGUGGCCCGGUCAGUUCGUGGUGAAAGCGCGGGGCUCAACCCUGCGUCGGCCAUGAAUACUGCCGCGGCUGGAGCACUGUAGAGGCAGGCGGAAUUCCGGGUGUAGCGGUGGAAUGCGUAGAGAUCCGGAAGAACACCGGUGGCGAAGGCGGCCUGCUGGGCAGUUGCUGACACUGAGGCGCGACAGCGUGGGGAGCAAACAGG